GUGUGGCUUGCCAGCUUUUCACAAGGCAUCUGCUGCAGUGGAGCAGGGACAGCUGUGUAAUCUGGAUCCCCAGCCACACCAAGAAACUGUUUGCCAAGGGAACUGUUGCUGGAUCAGCACUGGAUGUCAUCUGCUCAGCCUGGCUCCAACCCAGGGCUCCAUGGCAAAUCCCUUGGGUGACACCUGCCAUGUCUCGCUUGUAAAACCCACUCAGAUCUGUCCCAGCCUCUUUGAAUUAAUGCUGCUUGUAUCUUAAGCCUCUCAAUCAUGUGAGAAUUUUGUAAUGUGCUACACAGGAUCAUCUGAAAUGACCUAAGGACCUUGUGGCUCCCUUCUCUAUGGCUGCACAUGAUCACAGGGCGCUCCAGGGCACAGGCAGCUUUAUCCUGUCUCCAUCAACAGACUGCAAUCUCUACAUCAAGGAGAGAAAUAUCACCUGACAAAAGAUGGCUGAGCACAUCGUGGUGAUCCAAACCAGCCAUACAACAGCCAGGACAGGUGUGUGUACCAAACAGAAAGGAUUUAGGAACAAGUGGACUGCUUUCCACCACUGCCUUCUCAGAUGCCCACACCAAAGCAAUUACCAUAUGGGAGAUGCUGACUGGCUGGAAGAACCUGUUCAUUCUGGGUCUGUAAUGGAGUCUGUGAGGAGCUCAGCUUCCUGGUAUGGAAGAAGGAGAACUUCCUUGUCAACAACUGAGAAGAUUCUGAAGAACUCAAAGCACGGAGCAGCACUAGCUGCUGGGGGCCGUCCUGUGACAGCAGGCUGCAAUGCCAGCCCGUACCUGUUUGAUCUCAUAGUGCAAAGACGUGUGUGU
rnacentral:lncRNA from 1 species